GGUGCAUGGUUGUCGUCAGCUCGUGUCGUGAGAUGUUGGGUUAAGUCCCGCAACGAGCGCAACCCUCGCCUCUAGUUGCCAGCAUUCAGUUGGGCACUCUAGAGGGACUGCCGGUGUCAAACCGGAGGAAGGUGGGAUGACGUCAAGUCCUCAUGGCCUUUAUGUCUAGGGCUACACACGUACUACAAUGGCCGGUACAAAGGGCAGCCACUCAGCGAUGAGGCGCUAAUCCCAUAAAGCCGGUCUCAGUCCGGAUCGCAGUCUGCAACUCGACUGCGUGAAGUUGGAAUCGCUAGUAAUCGUAGAUCAGCAUGCCUACGGUCGAAUACGUUCCCGGGCCUU
rnacentral:rRNA from 1 species